rnacentral:rRNA from 1 species
UACGUAGGUGGCAAGCGUUGUCCGGAAUUAUUGGGCGUAAAGCGCGCGCAGGCGGUUCCUUAAGUCUGAUGUGAAAGCCCCCGGCUCAACCGGGGAGGGUCAUUGGAAACUGGGGAACUUGAGUGCAGAAGAGAAGAGUGGAAUUCCACGUGUAGCGGUGAAAUGCGUAGAGAUGUGGAGGAACACCAGUGGCGAAGGCGACUCCUUGGUCUGUAACUGACGCUGAGGCGCGAAAGCGUGGGGAGCAAACAGGAUUAGAUACCCUGGUAGUCCACGCCGUAAACGAUGAGUGCUAAGUGUUAGAGGGUUUCCGCCCUUUAGUGCUGCAGCAAACGCAUUAAGCACUCCGCCUGGGGAGUACGGCCGUAAGGCUGAAACUC